GUUUACCAAAAACAUGGCUUCUCGUAAUGGAAUAAAAUGAGGAGUCGGACCUGCCCAGUGAGAUUUUUUUAACGGCCGCGGUACUCUGACCGUGCAAAGGUAGCAUAAUCAUUUGCCUUAUAAUUGAAGGCUAGUAUGAAUGGUUUGACAAGAAUAUAGCUGUCUCUUUAUAAUUAAGUAGAAUUUUAUCUUAAGAUGAAGAAGUCUUAAUAGAAUUGAAAGACAAGAAGACCCUAUCGAGCUUUAAAAAAAUCUAUAGAAAUUAAUUAAUAAGUGAUUUAAAAAAUUGACUAUUGAAUAUUUUGGUUGGGGCGACUGAGGAACAAAUAAAGCUUCCUUUAAUAAUAAUAUACACUUGAGUAUUGAUCCAAAACUUUUGAUUAAAAAAAUUAGUUACCGUAGGGAUAACAGCAUUAUCUUUUUUGAGAGUUCUUAUCGAAAAAAAGGUUUGUGACCUCGAUGUUGGACCAGAAUACCCCAAAGAUGCAGAAGUCUUUAAAGGUUGGUCUGUUCGACCAUUAAAAUUCUACGUGAUCUGAGUUCAGACCGG
rnacentral:rRNA from 1 species